CUGGAUGGUAUUUGGGAGGCUUAUCGGACAUACGGGGGUCUGGCCUGGUGGCGAUAUGACGAGCAGUUUCGUCAGCGCCUGGCUGCUAAUCCAGGGAUGCAGUGGGACCAGAUGGACCUACCCCUCUGGAUAAAACUUAUGAUGGCGCAGAAGGCGUCCCCCUUUCAGACAGGGGCCGGCACGGGCGCGUCUACCGCCGUGUCAGCCAACCAAAAACGGGGCUACUGCUGGCUGUAUAAUGAGGGACAGUGCAAGUGGGGGGCCACUUGUUGAUUCAAG